UGGUUCUGGCAUCGAUGAAGAACGCAGCGAAAUGCGAUAAGUAAUGUGAAUUGCAGAAUUCAGUGAAUCAUCGAAUCUUUGAACGCACAUUGCGCCCCCUGGUAUUCCGGGGGGCACGCCUGUCCGAGCGUCAUUUCAACCCUCCAGCUCCGCUGGGUGUUGGGGAUCUACGGAGACGUAGGCCCUGAAAAACAGUGGCGGGCUCGCGCAUACCCGGACGUAGUAAUGCUGUCGUCUAGGGGCUGUCGCGGGUGCCAGCCGUGAAACUGACGUAAGUCAUUUUUCAGAAGGUUGACCUCGGAUCAGGCGGGAAUACCCGCUGA
rnacentral:misc_RNA from 1 species